rnacentral:misc_RNA from 1 species
GAUGAAGAACGCAGCGAAAUGCGAUAAGUAGUGUGAAUUGCAGAAUUCAGUGAAUCAUCGAAUCUUUGAACGCACAUUGCGCCCCUUGGUAUCCCGAGGGGCAUGCCUGUUCGAGCGUCAUUUCACCACUCAAGCCUGGCUUGGUGUUGGGCGACGUCCUCUUUGGGGACGCGCCUCGAAACGCUCGGCGGCGUGGCACCGGCUUUAAGCGUAGCAGAAUCUUUCGCUUUGGAAGUCGGGGCCCCCUCUGCCGGAAGACCUGCUCGCAAGGUUGACCUCGGAUCAGGCAGGGAUACCCGCUGAACUUAAGCAUAUCAAUAAGCGGAGGA